GCUUGGGUGGCUCCGUCGGUUAAGCGUCUGACUUCGGCUCAGGUCAUGAACUCGUGGUUCAUGGGUUCGAGCCCCACCUCGGGCU
rnacentral:tRNA from 1 species